GUCCCUUUCGUCCAGAGGUUAGGACAUCGUCUUUUCAUGUCGAAGACACGGGUUCGAUUCCCAUAAGGGAUA
rfam:Triticum aestivum genome assembly, contig: Triticum_aestivum_CS42_TGACv1_scaffold_141228_2BL